ACCAAUCGAAACAAGACCUACCAUAUAAGGACCAAGAACUAUUGUAAGGAUGAAAAUCAGACUGAGGAAAUGGACACCAGAUUGUAACCAGUUCUUCGGUUAUUGCCGCCAAAUGGUUGCGUUUUACUUCUUUUUUUUUGUCACUGAAUAAUACUAAUAAAAAAAAAACUUUCCUCUCUCUAGGAGAUAUCUUUUAAAACUUUCUUAACCUCAUCCAUGAUUGCACUCACGAACCUACUCUGAUAGCUGUCGUAGCAAACCUCUGCUCCAAUUGCUUGAAGAUGGCUUGCAAGUUGGUAUCGGCUAUGGUAGUUAGAUGUUGUUCAUGCUCACUUCCAGUUACCGUCACGUAGUUGUGGAUAUUUCCCUCUUUAGCUAUCUCUAUGUUAGAAUCAGGCCUGGAUAGAACCAAAAUCCAUUCCACCAUAUCAGAGAUAGUCCUGAAUAUAGCGAAAUGAAACAUGAACGCCCUUACGCAAUACACAUCAGUCAUCAGGGAAACCAAUUGGACUGGCGAAAACAGGAUUAAUUUUCAAGGAUCAUCAGUUGCAGCAGAAAACGCAUUAGUUAGAGCACUUCCAUCAGCAAAUCUUUCCAAUCUCGAUUCCCUAGACCGACAUCUGUCGUGAGGCCCACAGAACAGUUAAAAAUCGAGUUCAUCCCACUGAACUCCCAAGGCUCAGGUUCAUCAUCAAAUGUAUAUUAUAUUAUUUAUUUUUUUGGGAAACGUGUGAGCCUCCCCCCCCCCCCAAUCCUUUAAUAGAGAUGCUCUUAGCAAGUUAGUCACUAUUGAUCUUUUGUCUAUGCCAAAAGCACUCAAGGGCUCGUCCGUGGUAUUUUAGCUGCAAAACCCCGAUUAUGAUUAAACAAUAUUUUAUUGUACUCUUUGCUACAUAUCACUAUCUUU